rnacentral:rRNA from 1 species
UUUCAAGAUUCUAAGAGCAAACGGUGGAUGCCUUGGCAUCUGGAGCCGAAGAAGGACGUAUAAAUCUGCGAUAAGCCUCGGGGAGCUGAUAAUAGAGCUUUGAUCCGAGGAUUUCCGAAUGGGGAAACCCCGCCAGGCCCUUUGGGUGACCUGGUGACUCCCGCCUGAAUAUAUAGGGCGGGUAGAGGGAACGUGGGGAAGUGAAACAUCUCAGUACCCACAGGAAGAGAAAGCAAAAGCGAUUCCGUUAGUAGUGGCGAGCGAAACCGGAAGAGGCCAAACCGAUCAUGUGUGAUAUCCGGUAGGAGUUGCAUGGUCGGGGUUGCGGGACUUUCCGUACAGUUCUACCGAGCUGUGAGGGCAAUGAGCGCGAUAUAGACGAAUGGUCUUGAAAGGCCAGUCAUAGAGGGUGCGAACCCCGUAGUCGAAAUGUCGUCGCCUGUCCGGAGAGUAUCCCAAGUAGCACGGGGCCCGAGAAAUCCCGUGUGAAUCUGUCAGGACCACCUGAUAAGCCUAAAUACUCCCAGAUGACCGAUAGCGGACAAGUACCGUGAGGGAAAGGUGAAAAGUACCCCGGGAGGGGAGUGAAAUAGUACCUGAAACCGUUUGCUUACAAACCGUUGGAGCACCCUUGUUGGUGUGACAGCGUGCCUUUUGAAGAAUGAGCCUGCGAGUUAGUGAUAUGUGGCGAGGUUAACCCGUGAGGGGCAGCCGUAGCGAAAGCGAGUCUUAAUAGGGCGUAUGAGUCGCAUGUUCUAGACCCGAAGCGAAGUGAUCUAUCCAUGGCCAGGUUGAAGCGACGGUAAGACGUCGUGGAGGACCGAACCCACUUCAGUUGAAAAUGGAGGGGAUGAGCUGUGGAUAGGGGUGAAAGGCCAAUCAAACUUCGUGAUAGCUGGUUCUCUCCGAAAUGCAUUUAGGUGCAGCGUUGCGUGUUUCUUGCCGGAGGUAGAGCUACUGGAUGGACGAUGGGCCCCAAAAGGUUACUGACUUCAGCCAAACUCCGAAUGCCGGUAAGUGAGAGCGCAGCAGUGAGACGGUGGGGGAUAAGCUUCAUCGUCGAGAGGGAAACAACCCAGACCACCAUCUAAGGUCCCUAAGCGCGUGCUAAGUGGGAAAGGAUGUGGAGUUGCAUAGACAACCAGGAGGUUGGCUUAGAAGCAGCCACCCUUGAAAGAGUGCGUAAUAGCUCACUGGUCAAGUGAUUCCGCGCCGACAAUGUAACGGGGCUCAAGCACGCCACCGAAGUUGUGGCAUUUAUAUUAUAGGCAGGCCUUCGUGGUCCAGCCGUAUGGAUGGGUAGGAGAGCGUCGUGUGGCCAGCGAAGCGGCGGUGUGAACCAGCCGUGGAGGCCACACGAGUGAGAAUGCAGGCAUGAGUAGCGAAAGACGGGUGAGAAACCCGUCCUCCGAAAGACCAAGGGUUCCAGGGCCAGGCUAAUCCGCCCUGGGUAAGUCGGGACCUAAGGCGAGGCCGACAGGCGUAGUCGAUGGACAACGGGUUGAUAUUCCCGUACCGAUGAAGAACCGCCCAAGACAAUCCAGUAAUGCUAAGUGUCUGAAUCCUUGAUUCGAUCCCUUCGGGGUGACGGUCUUGGCCUAGCACACGACCCUACGCUGGGGCGUUUAGCGUAUUAACAGGUGUGACGCAGGAAGGUAGCUGAGCCGGGCGAUGGUUGUCCCGGUCUAAGGAUGUAGGGCAGAAGAUAGGCAAAUCCGUCUUCUAUGUAGCCUGAGACCCGAUGGGUAGUCCUCACGGACGAAAUCAGUGAUCCUAUGCUGCCGAGAAAAGCAUCGACGCGAGGUUCCAAUCGCCCGUACCCCAAACCGACUCAGGUGGUCAGGUAGAGAAUACUAAGGAGAUCGAGAGAAUCGUGGUUAAGGAACUCGGCAAAAUGCCCCCGUAACUUCGGGAGAAGGGGGGCCUGAGGCGUGUAGGGAUUUACUCCUGAAGCGUUUGAAGGCCGCAGAGACCAGUGGGAAGCGACUGUUUACUAAAAACACAGGUCCGUGCUAAGUCGCAAGACGAUGUAUACGGACUGACGCCUGCCCGGUGCUGGAAGGUUAAGAGGAACGGUUAGCACGCAAGUGCGAAGCUGAGAAUUUAAGCCCCAGUAAACGGCGGUGGUAACUAUAACCAUCCUAAGGUAGCGAAAUUCCUUGUCGGGUAAGUUCCGACCUGCACGAAUGGCGUAACGACUUCCCAGCUGUCUCAACCGCGAACUCGGCGAAAUUGCACUACGAGUAAAGAUGCUCGUUACGCGCAGCAGGACGGAAAGACCCCGUGACCUUUACUACAGCUUGGUAUUGGUGUUCGGUGUGGCUUGUGUAGGAUAGGUGGGAGACUGUGAAGCUCGGACGCUAGUUCGGGUGGAGUCAUUGUUGAAAUACCACUCUGGUCACUCUGGAUAUCUAACUUCGAACCGUAAUCCGGUUCAGGGACAGUGCCUGGUGGGUAGUUUAACUGGGGCGGUUGCCUCCUAAAAAGUAACGGAGGCGCCCAAAGGUUCCCUCAACCUGGUUGGUAAUCAGGUGUCGAGUGUAAGUGCACAAGGGAGCUUGACUGUGAGACUGACAAGUCGAGCAGGGACGAAAGUCGGGACUAGUGAUCCGGCAGUGGCUUGUGGAAGCGCUGUCGCUCAACGGAUAAAAGGUACCUCGGGGAUAACAGGCUGAUCUUGCCCAAGAGUCCAUAUCGACGGCAUGGUUUGGCACCUCGAUGUCGGCUCGUCGCAUCCUGGGGCUGGAGUAGGUCCCAAGGGUUGGGCUGUUCGCCCAUUAAAGCGGUACGCGAGCUGGGUUUAGAACGUCGUGAGACAGUUCGGUCCCUAUCCGCUGCGCGCGUAGGAAAUUUGAGAAGAUCUAUCCCUAGUACGAGAGGACCGGGAUGGACGAACCUCUGGUGUGUCAGUUGUUCCGCCAGGAGCACCGCUGAUUAGCUACGUUCGGAACGGAUAACCGCUGAAAGCAUCUAAGCGGGAAGCCGGCUUCGAGAUGAGAUUUCCAUCCCUUUUAGGGUGAAGGCUCCCGGCUAGACUACCGGGUUGAUAGGCAGGAUGUGGAAGCGAGGACUAAAGACUCGUGGAGCUGACCUGUACUAAUAAGCCGAUAUCUUGAAAAC